rnacentral:tRNA from 1 species
GGCGUGUUGGUCAAUCGGUUACGACGCCUCCCUUUCACGGAGGAAGGACGGGUUCGACUCCCGUACAUGCUACAA